rnacentral:rRNA from 1 species
ACGGAAGGCAGCAGUGGGGAAUAUUGGACAAUGGGGGAAACCCUGAUCCAGCGACGCCGCGUGAGUGAAGAAGUAUUUCGGUAUGUAAAGCUCUAUCAGCAAGGAAGAAAAUGACGGUACUUGACUAAGAGGCCCCGGCUAACUACGUGCCAGCAGCCGCGGUAAUACGUAGGGGGCAAGCGUUAUCCGGAUUUACUGGGUGUAAAGGGAGCGUAGACGGCAUAGCAAGUCUGAAGUGAAAUGCAUGGGCUCAACCCAUGAACUGCUUUGGAAACUGUUAAGCUAGAGUGCAGGAGAGGUAAGUGGAAUUCCUAGUGUAGCGGUGAAAUGCGUAGAUAUUAGGAGGAACACCAGUGGCGAAGGCGGCUUACUGGACUGUAACUGACGUUGAGGCUCGAAAGCGUGGGGAGCAAACAGGAUUAGAUACCCUGGUA